AUUGAACGCUGGCGGCAUGCCUUACACAUGCAAGUCGAACGGUAACAGGUCUUCGGAUGCUGACGAGUGGCGAACGGGUGAGUAAUACAUCGGAACGUGCCUAGUAGUGGGGGAUAACUACUCGAAAGAGUGGCUAAUACCGCAUGAGAUCUACGGAUGAAAGCAGGGGAUCGCAAGACCUUGUGCUACUAGAGCGGCCGGUGGCAGAUUAGGUAGUUGGUGGGAUAAAAGCUUACCAAGCCGACGAUCUGUAGCUGGUCUGAGAGGACGAUCACCCACACUGAGAAUGAAACACGGCCCAGACUCCUACGGGAGGCAGCAGUGGGGAAUUUUGGACAAUGGGCGUAAACUUGGUCCAGCAAUGCCGCGUGCAGGAUGAAGGCCUUCGGUUUGUAAACUGCUUUUGUACGGAACGAAAAGCCCCGGGUUAAUACCCUGGGGUCAUGACGGUACCGUAAGAAUAAGCACCGGCUAACUACGUGCCAGCAGCCGCCGUAA
rnacentral:rRNA from 1 species